CAAAGGGAUUAUUUUUAUAGAAAAUGUAACUGUACCUCUCCAUCCUCCAGCUCCACGUCUAGGAAAUCGAAGUCCCUAAAGACUCUAAACUGCUGCUCGCUGUUUGUGUCGUCCAUGUUCUCCUGUUCCCUGGCGCCGUCCUCAGAAGACACCAGGCUCGUCUGAUGCUCCAGCAGAUCCAAGUCUCCACACGAGGAAAAAAUCACCUACAAAUCAAAAGAGCCCUCUCCUGAGAAACUGGUCUGCCUUCAGUUGUUUGUGCUAUGAAAAACGGUGCCUUCGGAUUAAACUCCUUGCAAAGACGCAAGUUCGUGCACCAGGAAAACGAUGAAGAGUCGAAUUGCUGCCUGUUAAUGGAUGAAGAUGGGACACUACCUGGCACAAGUCUUCUUUCCUCAAAAAAGAGAAUAACUACUUUCUGCAGAAUGAAAAUAUUCAAUUAUUGGUUUGGAUGCAGAAUGUAGGAGGCCAACACCACUCUUAGAUUUUCCUUCCUGAUGGAACUUGGUUCACUCCAUCCAUCUUUCCAAAUUAUAGAAGAGACACUCAAUAUGGUGUGGUUUCAGUCUCUGUAGUAACAGACUGGAG